GAUGAACGCUGACAGAAUGCUUAACACAUGCAAGUCUUUGGCGAAGCUGUGCUUGCACAGCCUAGCCAAGGCGGACGGGUGAGUAACGCGUAAGGAACUUGCCCUGCAGUCAGGGAUAACAGACGGAAACGACUGAUAAGACCUGGUAAAGUCAGGCGGACUCAUGUCCAGCCUGAUGAAAAGAGAUGCUGCAGGAGAGCCUUGCGUCCUAUUAGCUUGUUGGUGGGGUAACGGCCCACCAAGGCGAUGAUAGGUAGCCGGCCUGAGAGGGUGGACGGCCACAAGGGGACUGAGAUACGGCCCCUACUCCUACGGGAGGCAGCAGUGGGGAAUAUGGGACAAUGGGGGCAAACCUGAGACAGCAAUGCGGUGUGCACGAUGAAGGUUUUCGGAUGGUAAAGUGCUUUCAGCAGGGAAGAAAAAAAGGACGGGACCUGCAGAAGAAGCGACGGCGAAAUACGU
rnacentral:rRNA from 1 species